rnacentral:rRNA from 1 species
UACGUAGGGACCAAGCGUUGUUCGGAUUUACUGGGCGUAAAGGGUGCGUAGGCGGCGCGGUAAGUCGGGUGUGAAAUCUCGGGGCUUAACUCCGAAACUGCAUUCGAUACUGCCGUGCUUGAGGACUGGAGAGGAGACUGGAAUUUACGGUGUAGCGGUGAAAUGCGUAGAUAUCGUAAGGAAGACCAGUGGCGAAGGCGGGUCUCUGGACAGUUCCUGACGCUGAGGCACGAAGGCCAGGGGAGCAAACGGG